UUCGAUGUUUCCCUCGUUUCUGUAGUCAGAGUCUGCGCGAUAAUGGUCUCACUCCAUCGUUUCUAUCACCAUUAGUGAUUUUCCAAUAUUUAUCUCACUAGAGACAGCUCUAGAUUAUUCGUAAAUUUACAAACUCACAUGUGCCAAGUUCUGAGCGCCGCUUGUGAAACUUCAUCAUUCAAAAAUACUCUCAUAUUUAAGUUACAGAAACUAUCAGCAAGAUUCCCAGAGUUCAGGUUGCCAUUAGUGAGUUCCCAACUUGACAAUGCUUGCCGGAACCCAAUGAAAAAUUUUUACAUACAUGGAUUAAUGUGACGAAACCAUGUACUUGAUGAGGAUGACGGUCAAGACCAGGUUGGGGUUCAAUGUCAAGACAAAACGACAUGUUUCAAUCUCAUUUUCCAAAAAUAUCAUAGUAGCGAAUGAUGCAAUUGGGCUGGACAAGGAAAUUCUUAUCAGAAUCCGAUAAGGGAAGCCUGAUCAGGGUCAGAGGCGUGCUGAGCGUUACAGACCCAUGAUGAGAAACAACCGGGUGUAUCUCUUCCCGUAAAGAAAGGCAAGAGGGAGGGAGAGAGAAAAAGAGAGAAGAAAAAAUACUCCCUUUUAACGAAAACGGGAAACUUUAAUGCGUCCCACGAGGGUGAGUUAUGUGGGGCUGGGUUACUCUAGUGGAGAACCAGAAAAUGUAUUCGCGCAGCAUCUCUACGACGACUCUAGUGAGAGAAAUGGAAACAAAGAAUGAGAACGAGAGACGAAUGAUGUUUCUACGGGGGAAAGUUUAAAUAUGCGCUUCAAUUUGCAAUUUAAUUGGUGAGUAGAGAAGAAAAGGGGAAGAGAUAAAAAGAGAGAAAAGAUGUGAGAUACUCACGAAGCAAAGCACUCGACUACUUAUUUGUUUUUCUACUUUUAUUUACCCCCGCUUUCCAGUAACAUAUUCAGCGCCGAGAACUGCACAGAAAGGAAAGAAAAAAAGAAAACAGUGCUAAAAAUUCUUCCCUGUCGAGCAAGAUCGUGUGUAAAAAAAUUAGUGGAACAGUGGAUGAAAAAAUAAAACGCAAAUAUCGUGCUUAUACCAAAUAUUGCUUACAUGCCCAUGGAAUAAAAUGCCAAGUACUCUAUUGAAUUCAACCUUUUGUUUGAAUUUUUACACCUGCAGAAGUUGUUAAAUGUAGCCGCACAUAGAUGUGGGCCUGGAGCAUCAUAGCUUUUCCGUUUCCACGCGUUUUAACUGAAUAAUAUCCGCAAAGUGUACACAUAGAGAAAGCCAGUAGAAAUACUGCCUGGAUGGUACGACGUCGAGGGCAG